AAAGAAUUGAACGUUGUUCUUUAGAGUUCUUUUAUUUAUUCGUUUUCUUCUCAAAUCUCUUUGGCUUUUUGGGUUGUGGUUUGUUGCGGUUCUCUAUUUUGGGUGGUGAUCGUGUUUAAUUCGUUUGUUAUUCCGUUUGUGAGAAGAUUGAGAAUCAUUGGGUUUUCCUCCGGCUACUUGAUUCGUGUAUGUGGCUGCUGUUCAUUUUGUGGUUUGGAAAGUCUCGCAGGUGGUUUCGCAUUAGAAUUAGUCAAGGGAUGGUUGGAGAUGGUGUGUAGCGAUGGCGGUAGAAUUGUAAAUUUGGAUAUGAUUCUUAUUCUGUAACCCUCAAACUUAGGUGGGUCGGUUCAACGGGAGCUCGGUUAUAUCCACAUUUUUGUAAACUCAAUUUAUUUAAAUUUGACUUAUUUAAAAUUCUGGUAUGAGAGUUUUAUAAAUUUUGGAUUUUCUGGACAUUUGGGAUUAUUUUUUGUUUUGAUUUUAUUUUGGAUUUUUGGCAUGAAAUUUGAUAAAAUGACUUACCGAAAAUGACUA